AGCGAACGCUGGCGGCGUGCUUAACACAUGCAAGUCGAGCGAGAAAGGGGGCUUCGGCCCCUGAGUGCAGCGGCGAACGGGUGCGUAAUACAUCAGCAAUCUACCCUUGAGGCGGGAAUAACCCAGCGAAAGUUGGGCUAAUACCGGAUAAGACCACAAGAGGAAACCCUAGAGGUCAAAGGCAGCUCUCUUUUGGGGGCGGGCCCUUCGAGGAGGAGCUCAUGUCCUAUCAGCUAGUUGGUAGGGUAACGGCCUACCAAGGCGAAGACGGUAGCUGGUCUUAGAGGAUGAUCAGCCACAC
rnacentral:rRNA from 1 species